UACGUAGGGGGCAAGCGUUGUCCGGAUUUAUUGGGCGUAAAGAGCGUGUAGGCGGCCAGGUAGGUCGGUUGUGAAAACUCGAGGCUCAACCUCGAGAUGUCGACCGAAACCAUCUGGCUAGAGUCCGGAAGAGGAGAAUGGAAUUCCCGGUGUAGCGGUGAAAUGCGUAGAUAUCGAGAGGAACACCAGUGGCGAAGGCGAGUCCCUGGACAACACCUGACACUGAGGCACGAAAGCUAGGGGAGCAAACAGG
rnacentral:rRNA from 1 species